rnacentral:lncRNA from 1 species
GUCCUUAUAUACUUGGCCAGAAACAUCCCUUCUGCCAUAGGUAGAUGCAUUGUACUUGAAAUAAGUACCAAUCUUUUGACAUUCUAGACUUGGAAUACUAAAAGAUAUAACUGAUAUCAUUUUUUAGGGACUUGCCAAUACAUGAACUAGUCUUGGAAAUAAUUAAGAACACAAGAAACUAAUUUGAAUGCAAAUAGCUCAACUCAGAAUGUACCUUUGGGCAGUCUGACCACCUCUGACUAAAAAUGG